rnacentral:tRNA from 1 species
GGGGAGAUGGCCGAGCUUGGUUAUGGCGUCAGGUUAAGGUCCUGAUGGGAGUAAUCCCGCGUGGGUUCGAAUCCCACUCUCCUCA